AAAUUCCUAAAAUCUAAAAAAUCAAGAACUAUCCUAAAUCAAUCAAAUUAACCCUCCAACAUCAGGAUUAUUAAGAAAACGAAAUUUAACCCUAAAUAAUUAAUUGUUAAUUGUGGAUUAAGAGGAGGAUUAAGAACCAAAUUAAUAUUGGAACUUGGGGGUGAGUUGAAAACGGAUAGUGUAUGUGUGAAGAAUACUUGGGUUGUAGGCCCAAGCUCCAAGAAUCCAUGGCCAUGUCACUACAGAGAGAUUCUAAGGUUAACAACGCUCAGCAUGAACAUCCCUAAGAAAUAUAACUCCACCUUCUUCCGGCAUUCAAACAAUCGUCCAGAACGCGACCUUGCGUUAGCUUCAAAACGAAAAAUACGAAAAACUCACGUUAAAGAUUGAAACAACAAACUCACCUUCGGUGGCCGUUCGAAUCAACGUGAAUCUGAAAUCGUCUUCUCCGAUCUGUUUUGGGUCGGUGACACGUUGGAUGAACAAUGACGAUGAUGCUCCGAUUUGAAAUUUCGACGCAAGGUUAUGCUCCGUUGUCAUCGUCCGUCGAUUCUGUUACGGUGUCGUCGCUUUGACAUCGCGUGGUACGCGUGUUGCGAGUCGCUAUUGCUGAUGGAUUGCGUUGUGGCGUCAUAGUGAAGAGGGAAAGGCGUUGGAUCCUUUCUUUGAAGAGGGAAGGCAAUCGCUUCCGAGUUCCGUCGAAUCUCGAUCGAUGAAGACCUUUUCCCGAAACCGUGAGUUUUCUCCUUCCGUUUUGCUAUUUCCUCUUCUUCUGUUUUUGUUACGUUUUGUUGUUAAUUGGAGGAGAUUACGUAAAAUUAUGCAGGUUGACGGAUUUUUAUGUGGACCUCAUUCAGAGCAGAUGGUGGAAGCUGGUGGUUAUUGGGAGAAGUUGGAGGAUUUCGCGGCGGGUUGCAGGGUGGAGGUGAAGGGAGGUUUGGUGGAUGUGAUUGAGAGGUUGAAGAAGUUGAUGAAGUGAAGUCAGCGUCAGUUCUGGGUUGCAAUGGAGAUGGAAAAAGAAAAAAAAAUGGGUGAAGAAACCAGUUCAGUUCUAUAGAGGUUGUUGAAGUUGUGGAGGUUAUGGGAAAUUGUGGAUUCAGUUAGGAAUUAGUUAGAUUCAAUGACAGUUGGCGACAGUUGGAAUUGAUUAGGCGAUUAGGACGGUUGAAGACAGUUGGAAUUCGGUUCGAGUUGGUUUCGACAGUUGCUGUUAAUCGUGGGCAGUUAUGGCACUUGGCAGGUUAGUUACCGAGUCGGUUCUCAUAUGAAGUUAGUCAUGGUUUCAGUGAGUGUUUCCAGUUCUCUAUUAUGUUAUGCUUAUGUUUUGCCUCCUUCUUUCCACUGUUAUGCUGUGGAUUCAAAUGGCUUAAUGUUGGAAAAGGUUGAUGUAUAUUUGUGUUUUUGCAGGCUAACGGUUUACGGUCUUUGUUACGGAGCUAUGGUCGGCAUGUUGUAAGGCUUGCAUUGGAUUAUAUUAUGUUGGAGGUGAUGAAAGCAUAAGUUUGAACUGAGUUAUGGUGAGGGAAGUUAGAAGCAGUUUUGAAAUUGUUAUUAUUUUUUUUUCAUGAAAUUUGCAGGUCAAAUGGGUUUGUUUGAAGUGUACGAUCCUUCCAACUGCAUGAAUGAGUCCACAAUGGGAGGUGCGACAAUGACAGUUGGUUCACCCAAGUUAAGCAAAUCUUGAGGAGAUUAUUCAUUGGGUACACUUGCCACACUAGCUCUCAAAACCUUGCUGCCGGCCGAUGUUCCUUUUUUAUGCUGUUAUUUGGAAUGCAUGGCCUGCAUGGAACGCAUGUUUUUAUGUAUGGAAAUAAUUGGAUUUGAAAUGUAUGAAUUGGUAUGGAUUAGUGUGUUUUUUGGGCUUUUGUUGUAAUUUUUAUGCAUUGAAUGUGUAAUAUAGGUAACUGAAUUAGUAAUGUGAGGCAUCAGUGUAAUGUUUAAAUUGGAAUUGAAUACAUGUGAUUUUGGAAAUUGGCUUAUGUAAUGAAAGUGUAGUUUUGCAACUAAUGGUUGAAAUAUUUGUAGUGCAUUUGAAUUGUCAAUUAGAAAUAAUGGUUUAUGAUGGUAAAAUGUCUUUGGAUUGAAUC
rnacentral:lncRNA from 1 species